rnacentral:misc_RNA from 1 species
GAUGAAGAACGUAGCGAAAUGCGAUAAGUAGUGUGAAUUGCAGAAUUCAGUGAAUCAUCGAAUCUUUGAACGCACAUUGCGCCCCUUGGUAUCCCGAGGGGCAUGCCUGUUCGAGCGUCAUUUCACCACUCAAGCCUGGCUUGGUGUUGGGCGACGUCCUCUUUGGGGACGCGCCUCGAAACGCUCGGCGGCGUGGCACCGGCUUUAAGCGUAGCAGAAUCUUUCGCUUUGGAAGUCGGGGCCCCGUCUGCCGGAAGACCUGCUCGCAAGGUUGACCUCGGAUCAGGCAGGGAUACCAGCUGAACUUAAGCAUAUCAAUAAGCGGAGGA